GAUGAAGAACGCAGCGAAGUGCGAUAAGUAAUGUGAAUUGCAGAAUUCCGUGAAUCAUCGAAUCUUUGAACGCAAAUUGCACUCUUUGGUAUUCCGAAGAGUAUGCCUGUUUGAGGGUCAGUUAAAUAAAAAUCGGUGUUGUUGCUGCCUUUCGUGGUGACGCUUCGGAUUUGGGUCGUCUUACCUUCGGUUAAGUGACCUAAAAUUUAGCAUGAUUUUUCGAACGUAUUUAAAUUAUUUACGUACGUUUGUGAUAUCGAAUAUAUAUUAGAUGUGGUCAUUCUCGUGAUUCGCGUCUAUAAUUUUUUGUAAAAUGACCUCAAAUCAGGUAAGAGUACCCGCUGAACUUAAGCAUAUCAAUAAGCGGAGGA
rnacentral:misc_RNA from 1 species